rnacentral:rRNA from 1 species
UACGUAGGGGGCAAGCGUUGUCCGGAAUUAUUGGGCGUAAAGCGCGUGUAGGCGGUUCGGUAAGUCCGCUGUGAAAGUCGGGGGCUCAACCCUCGAAUGCCGGUGGAUACUAUCGGACUAGAGUACGGAAGAGGCGAGUGGAAUUCCUGGUGUAGCGGUGAAAUGCGUAGAUAUCAGGAGGAACACCGGUGGCGAAGGCGGCCCUCUGGACGGUGACUGACGCUGAGACGCGAAAGCGUGGGGAGCAAACAGG